rnacentral:rRNA from 1 species
GUUAGGAAUAUUGCGCAAUGGAGGCAACUCUGACGCAGCCAUGCCGCGUGCAGGAAGAAGGCGCUACGCGUUGUAAACUGCUUUUAACCGGGAAGAAACCCCAGGACGUGUCCUGGGUUGACGGUACCGGAGGAAUAAGCACCGGCUAACUUCGUGCCAGCAGCCGCGGUAAUACGAAGGGUGCAAGCGUUAUCCGGAUUCAUUGGGUUUAAAGGGUGCGUAGGCGGAGCGUUAAGUCAGUGGUGAAAUCCUGCAGCUUAACUGUAGACUUGCCAUUGAUACUGGCGCUCUUGAGUGCGCUUGAAGUGGGCGGAAUGUGCCGUGUAGCGGUGAAAUGCUUAGAUAUGGCACAGAACACCAAUUGCGAAGGCAGCUCACUAAGGCGAUACUGACGCUGAGGCACGAAAGCGUGGGGAUCGAACAGGAUUAGAUACCCUGGUAGUCC